UGCCUUAAACGUACCUCAAAUAGUAAUUUUCUAAAAAGCCGAACUAUUUAUUGUUAUUUUAUCGAGCAUUAAAUUUAUUCGUCUGAACGAGUUUUUCUCCCAUACAUUAACCACUUAAAAACGAGUGCCUUCGUCUAAUUUGAUCACAUCCAAAUAAAACUUCAAAAGAUUAAAACCAAUGGAAGUAUAAAACAACAAGAAGUUUUUCCCAAUUUAUUGGGGUACACAGCCGAUGCCUCAAUAAAACCAGGAAAUCGAAUUAUCCUUUAUGCAUUCGACGAGUUAAUAGCGGCCAAACACGAGGAUUCCAAUACAGAAGGGAGAAUCCUACAGACAGCAGUUGUAGUUGUUAUAGCAAAGUGAUAUGCUGAUAUGUACAGUGCAAAAUACUGUUUUUUCGAAAAAAAUUUAAAUAAAAAAAAACAGAAAAUGAUGAAAGAUAAAAAAAAGAGUACAGUAAACUUACAUAGUCCAAAAUUAUUGAUACAUAUUAAUUGAUAUCUUCCUAUCAAUUUAGUUGUUUAAGAUGGAUUUUAGACAGUGGGGACAGAAUAAAUAAGAGAUAUAAUGUGUGGUUUAUGUAAAACAACUUCUAGUUGAUAUUAAUAUAAUGAGUUCUUGUUACUUUAUUUGAUA
rnacentral:lncRNA from 1 species